rnacentral:rRNA from 1 species
GGGUCAGUAGGUUGGUCAUGCCACUGGUAUGUACUGGUCUCACUGAUUCCUCCUUCCUGAUGAGCCGUAAUGCAAUUAAUUUAGUGUUGCGGGAAAUUUGGACUGUUACUUUGAAAAAAUUAGAGUGUUUAAAGCAAGCUAACGCUUGAAUACAUUAGCAUGGAAUAAUGAAAUAGGACGUUCGACCUAUUUUGUUGGUUUCUAGGAUCGACGUA